rnacentral:rRNA from 1 species
CCCACAUUGGUCAGCCCCAUAUCAUGCAGUUUCUUGAAGGCCCGCACCUCCAGCCGGAAGUGAUCCGUCUCGGUGAGGUCGCGUCGGAUGCCUCUCCAUCCCAGCAUGGGAUUAUGCUCAUGGGGCUCGUUCUCCCCUCCCUCCAUAGCCCUGAACUCGUCGGUGGGGGCAUCCAGCGUCCUCACCCAGACCGGACGGGGGAAGAAGGCAUCGGCUACGACCUUGAUGCCUUUUACCAGCUCAUCGAUGUACUCCUCCGUCUUUGCAUUCUUUAUAUACCAGUUGGGGGUCUUGCCCAGGCCCAGGAUCAUGUGCUCUAUGCGUAAGAGCCCCACUCCGUCGGCCAUGGUGGCUGCCUCCCGUAGGAGU